GCCCACGUGCUGAAAUUGGUAGACAGGCCAGCUUGAGGGGCUGGUGCCCUUCGGGGCGUACAGGUUCGAGUCCUGUCGUGGGCA
rnacentral:tRNA from 1 species